UACGAAGGGGGCUAGCGUUGCUCGGAAUCACUGGGCGUAAAGGGUGCGUAGGCGGGUCUUUAAGUCAGGGGUGAAAUCCUGGAGCUCAACUCCAGAACUGCCUUGAUACUGGCGAUCUUGAGUUCGGGAGAGGUGAGUGGAACUGCGAGUGUAGAGGUGAAAUUCGUAGAUAUCUGGAGGAACACCGGUGGCGAAGGCGGCGAGUCGUCGGCCCAACAUUGACACUGAGACCCGAAGCGUGGGGAUCAAAACAGG
rnacentral:rRNA from 1 species